AUUGAACGCUGGCGGCAGGCCUAACACAUGCAAGUCGAGCGAGCGGCGGACGGGUGAGUAAUGUAUGGGAAACUGCCUGAUGGAGGGGGAUAACUACUGGAAACGGUGGCUAAUACCGCAUACGAUCAGAUGAGCCCAGAUGGGAUUAGCUAGUAGGUGGGGUAAAGGCUCACCUAGGCGACGAUCCCUAGCUGGUCUGAGAGGAUGACCAGCCACACUGGAACUGAGACACGGUCCAGACUCCUACGGGAGGCAGCAGUGGGGAAUAUUGCACAAUGGGCGCAAGCCUGAUGCAGCCAUGCCGCGUGUAUGAAGAAGGCCUUCGGGUUGUAAAGUACUUUCAGCGGGGAGGCGUUACCCGCAGAAGAAGCACCGGCUAACUCCGUGCCAGCCGCCGCGGUAAUUC
rnacentral:rRNA from 1 species